AGUGAGCAGGCUGCAUGAGCUUGUGCAUAUACGACUUCAAACUGAAAUGCAUGACCACAUCCAUUAAAUCACACAACUUAAAAUAAUACGCAACCGAUUGUUAUUGACAGUUAAAAAAGCCAUUGCAGGGUACACACUACUGUAAAAACUGCUGGCUUAUUAACCCAUAUGCUGGGUUGAGACCGAUGGGUACACAAACUCGUUGAUUUGACCCAUAUUUGGGUUGGCAACUGUCUGUAACCCAACAACGCUGGUUUGUGCAUGCGGCUGUUAAAGAGAGGAGUCAACUGUGGACGUAGAAAGAGCGGUUCAAAUGACUGAGUGGCCACCAGGUCAAGGGAGUAUCCACGUCUCCCCGACACUCCGGGCAUGGACUUUUCAGUUUUGAAUCCUCACUGCCUGUCUUUAAGGCUAAGAUUCUGCAGUUUUCCAGCCAAGAGAAGCAGGCUCUUCAUCUACUUUCCAACAUAGAAACCAUGUCAGCAGGAGUCGAUGAAAACGUCAUCAAUGAAGUUGGUGAAUAUAAUGAAGUUGGUCAUUAAUGAAGUGGUGCAUGAAUGUGGUUCAUGUAAACAUUUUUUUUGUGUGUUCAACUGUUAUUUUGUUAUUUUAUCAAAUAUACAAAAUCUUAAAUCUACCCCAAGUCAUCAUUGUGUCUUCACUCUGUACUUGAAAUGUGGUUAAUCUAGUCACUGAAAAGGCUAUACCAUGAUUUAUUGUUUAUUUUGCUUGAUGUGUUAUUAUAUUAUGCUAGUUAGUCACAAUAAUUACUCAACAUUAAGCUGUUAGCAAUAAGGUAUAAUUGUAAGAAAUAAAGUAGUAUUUGGGUGUAAUAAACCCAAAAGUGGUUUUGCAGUCCCAAAAGUGCAGGUCCUGGAAUUGCGUCCUCCGGUAUUGCAGUCGGAUAAUAUUGGGUACAGGGGGCACGUGAUUGACAGCUAGUGGCGCUCAAACCUUGGAAGCUUUUUCGGAUUAGCUAACUGUCGACGCGAUAACACGACAUAUAAUCCAAGGGGGAUUGCUUUGAGGUUGGUUACUAGCUGUCCUUCGACCAGCUGUGUUUUUGUACAAUCUUUAACUGUAAUAUGCAGGAAUGCGUUUGAACAGGGAUGAUUUGAACUUUUUGGGGGGGGUCUAAUAACAGCUGAAAUCAGUUGAGCUAGUACAUAAAAUUUAGGCUCAAAACUGUUUCCUUCUGCCGAUUCACAAUGGUAAACUUUUAAUAGUGAUUUAUAUGUUGAACGUUCAAGCCCUAUUUUGCAGAAAAUGUCAUUUGACGUCAACCCAAGGAAAGGUAGGCCUUAGGUAUAGUUUUAAAAAGGAGGAACAGAAACCUUCAUGUUUCAAACAGAGAUGGCGAUAGGCAAAAAUUAUAGACUGCACCUUUAAAAACCAGUGCUGCCUUCCAUUUCACCUAGGCCUACAUAUAAGAGGCACUAAACGUGUACUGUUUUUGUUAUGGAUAAGAAUAUACACUUUAGUGUGUAGCAAAACAGUAUGCAUGCACUGGGACAUACUAAUGCGAAACGAAAAUGGCCUCUGUUGCCCUGACGACACUGUGAUCAUUAACAGUUACGAACAUCAAAAUACAACUUCUUUUCAUUUAAAUCAGCCGUUUGACUGUACAUGGAUCUACACUUCGAAUUUUCAUCAGAAGCAGUAUACCAUCUUUGAGAAUACUCAUUUCAUCAUACUAUGAUUUGGGAUGUACUAAUUCUAAUUUCCUAAUUGGAUAGUAUGUGAAUUGAGACGCAGGGCAUCUCUUUUUACCACUUGUCAAUGAAUAGCAAUGUAGCAAAGCAUUAUACCCUGUGUCUGAAAUCACCUACUUACUUUAUAGUAUGCGACAAUCAGUAUAUGAAAUAGAAGUACCUCUAAAGCAUCAAUAUUUAAAACAACAGUAUGCAACACAAUGAAGUAAAAAUACAGAAAAAAAAACUGCGAGCCAGUAGCUCUUUUCAAAUAUUUACCAAAAAGCGUUAAAAGUGUAAAUUUUACAGUUGUCGUUAGUAUGUCAUGUAAGAACAUACAUAGUCACAUGACAAUCAACUGGGAGAUGUUGUUUAUUCAGGACGUUUGCAUACGACACCCAUGCGUACUAUAUAGAAUUUAUUUCACGGUCAAGAAGUACAGUAGAUACUUCAUUUAAUUCAGUAUGUACUGUCAUACUGCUAUUUUCGACGCAGGGAUACACUUACUAACAAUUAUGUCCGGUUCUCGAACCUGAUUGGACGAUAGACUUUCCAAGAGCAUUAAAUACAGUAUAGGACCAGAACAACACUGAGACAAUUUACUUUUUUGUAUCAUUCCUCCACAGUAACCGAUGAAAUAAUAUUAUGACUAAUUUACUAUAUGAAUUUUCACUGCACAACUGCUGCUAAUAUGCAGCAAAAUAAAACAUUCUUGCUCGUAUGAUUUUUCUCUCCAAGCGUUAGGUUUGGGGAGGUAUGAGGAUGCAUACUUUCCACAUAAGCACAUUGAUGCUUCUUCAGUGCACGCUCCAAAUGCAUACUUUAAUGGACAUCAUAUUUCUGCCCUCAGCUAUUAGAGUAAAAGGGAGGGGGUGAACAUAAUGCAGCUGGAUACACUGAAAUAUAGCCUUACAUGUAUAUUGACAUACUUGUUAUACAAUCUUUUGUUGUGUUAAUUUUCUACAAACGUGCAAUCUCAUAAAAAUGGUUCUCUUGUCACAUCACAUUUAGGUGCAACUGUACACUCCCUCCACAUUUUAAGCACUACCAUGGUUAAGCAUCGUCAUAUGCACUGUUAAAAAUAAUCUCUUGAGAAUUCCUAUGCAUUUUUACGUAAAAUGUGGUUCUACAAAACGUAUAUGUACUUACGUUUGCACAAACACUAAAACCCAAAAUACUGACGUAUUUACAGCAUCUAAACGCACAAUAUUGACGUAUUGACAACACAUUAAACGUUAAUUAUAUGAAUCAUUAUGCAUAUCGUAAUCACGCAUCAACAUGUAUUUUAUUGUAUUGCAUUUAUUUCUCAUAUCAAUAGUAUUAUGUUUUCAAUUGCAUUUAUUAAAGUUUACUCGUUUAGUUAUUAUGAAAUUAUUUCGGUUCUGUUUGAUUUCUGCUGCCAACUCGUUUAGUAGAAACAAGACUUUAAACUCUUAAAAUGUGUAACCAUUACUUAUCAUGUAAUGUUUGCUUUGUUUGCCAAAUAAAGGCGUUUUCUCUGUGACUAACAAUAGAACCAUAAAAUUCACCAAAAACGACAAUAAUAAAGGAAUCAAUUUUAUUAAUCAGAUGCAAUACAUAUCUUCAGAAUCCACUCGACUGUUAGGAACAUAACCAAAUCCAAGCCUUUAUUUGGCGAUCUUCUUUCUUCAUCAUGACACCAGCACUAACACGCCCGUUACAAAAUUCAAAAGUUGCCGCCGGCGCCACGAAGAAUCUUUACGACAAGUUUUACGGCAGGAAAAUCGAACGCUCAUUGGUUCUCGCCGGAUUCGUCACAGAUUGCGACAUGCCGUGUUUCGGGUGAGGUGUGUUUGUAGGACAAUGCGCGCAUUGACAUUUGGACUACUUUUGGUAUUUUUUAAAUAAAAAACAUUAUUGUGAUUGCACUUAUCUGUCUGUCAUGGUUUUCUUUAUACUGUACAUAUUUUUAAGAAAUAGUUAUGGUUAGGUUUAGAGGUAGGAGGAUUUGCAACUGUAAAAUAUUUUUAAUGGUAUAUUGUUACUAAAAUCAUAAUUUUCCUGCAUAUUUCGGUCUAUUACAUUUUAUAUCUUUUUUAUUUUUGCUAUUAAAUGGGUAGGUUUAGGUUAAGGGGUCUAAUAAUAUAAAUUGCUUAUCAAUACAAUUAUGGAAACAAAUAUCUUAAUGAGAUACAAGCUUUGCGUAUAUUUUAUUAUUUUACGUUUUUUAGCUAAAAACACGUAGCAAUUUUUAUGUUUUAUACAUUGUAAUAUGUUUAAAUUUAACGUUUCAGCAUCAAUAAAAACGUACAAAAAUGUACGUUUUGUAGAACCACAUUUAACAUACAAAUACCUACGUAUAAACAGUGAGAUCAGGCUGAAAAUAAAGGUGCUUAAAAGGUUCUUCACAGCGAUGCCAUAGAAGAACAAUUUUCAAAGUCAAAGGUUCUUUAAAGAACCAUCUCUUUCUUUGUAUAAUCUGAAGAACCUUUUUUUCCACAAAGAACCUCUUGUGAAACAGAAAGGUUCUUCAGAUGUUAAAGGUUCUUUAUGGAACCAAAAGGUUCUAUGGAAUCCAAAAACCUUUUGAAACCCCCCUUUUUUUAAUCGUACAUCUCUCUCCGCCAAUGACCUUUACAAUGAAGAACGCAUGCAUGCAUAGGCUGAAUUCUACUGAAGCAAUGUAAUUGGGCUGCCAAUGAAGCAUUUUAAAACAUUUUAAGUACACCUUAAUGAUGCCUACUCCUUGUCUUAAACUUGUCUCGGACAAGUAAUGUCAAGUAUUAUACAUGUAUGCCUACUAACAGUUUCAGUCUUUAAAUCUGAUUGGACGUGAGCUGUUCCAACAGUUCAAAUGAAGAGUUUAUUUGCAAAACAGCAAAAAAUGUUGAAAAUGUUUUUAUUGUUUUAUCAUAUUAUCACGAGUUAUUCUGCAAGUAUGCUGUUGUGUGAUUUCUCUUUAGUUAAAUGUGCUUUAUGGCUGCAACAUAAAAUUCAUUAAAAGGGACAAGCCGUUGACUCCACUAUUGCAACCUAACAUCCUUAAUAAAACCUAAAAUAACCUACAAUGUAAGAAUGGUCUGAACAAUUCAAAGGGCUUGAAUACACUAAAAUAACAUCUGGCGGGAAUUCUAUAAACGGGUCAGUGACGUGAUGCUUUUGUGUCCCUUUGGUUUAAUUAUAUUUAAAAGGGUUAACAUUUUAAAAUAAGCUUGCUGAUUACUGGCAUACAUUCUAUUUUCUGAGGACCAUGUCUAAAAUUUCUGGUUUUGAAUCAUUUUGAGAGAAUAUUUGCAAGAAUGAUUGCAAAAAUGUAAAUGUGGUGUAACUGCAAAAACUUGAUACCAAAUAAAUGAUCUUGUUUAAACGAGGUGAAAAUCUUAAUAAAACACCAUAUCAGUUAGUUUGGCAUAAUCUGACAUUAGUCCUAUUUAAUAGUAAAUACAAGUAAAAGGAACACAAUUGUUCUGAAUAUUAUAAUUAAUUUGGGGAAUCAUGUGAGUCAAGUCAAAUUCAUGUAGUGUCAAGGUGGUGUAACCACCAUUUAAGGAACAAUUUUGCUAAUUCUUUGCAAGAAGACACGUGACAGGAAAUGAAAUCACAGAGAAGAACCCCUUACUGCUAACUGCUGCAUGCAAAGAUUAGUAACUCUCUUGCAGAAAUAUUAAUUUUAGGAAAAGUUACUCAGUAUAAAAACAAUGGAAUACAAUGGAAAGUUUGUUUUUCCCAUAAUAAAAUACAUUUGCACUCUUGUCAUUCACUUAAACAUCUCUGUCUGUCUAAAAGCAUCUGAUCUGGUAUGAAAUUUAGUGGUGGCCCUUCAGAGAAACAUAAUGCAGUUUGAUCGAAAAGUCUGCAAGAUAAUGUCUUAUUUUAUUAGAUCAUCAUAAUCGUGUUGAUACAUAGCUCUAUUGUGAUCCUUUUGUAUUAAUCUGACUGCCCAGUGUGUAGAGUGGAACAGCUCUUUAAAAAAAAUAUUUUCUUAAGUGGAAAUGACGAAUGUAGAAUACCUGAAAGGUCAGGGACGUGCUCCCUUCCCCAUUUUAAAUGGGUGCUGUGCUUCUCAAAAAUAAGCAACAGAACGAUUCUUGCCCUGAAAUUUGACUGUUUAUGAUCACGCCAUAUCCAGUUACGAUGCGUCAAAAUUUGCAAUGCGUGAAGUAUGCUAAGAACAACAUACGGUGUCAUUUGACCCAUCUUUUUCACAGGCAAAAUAUUUCAUAAUGUGUCAUGACUGUCAGAGAGGAGACGGAGAUUCAAUUGCAGGUAAUGAAUACUUUAUUAAGUACAGGGUAAAAUAGGGAGAAAUCGGUUUCCAGACACCAGCAGCACAGUCCAGAAAGCACCAGAUUCCUUCUAGCUCCUCUGAGAGCCGCGAGAGUCUGCGGGAAACCGACUCAGCCCGGCGGUAUCCACGGAAGAGACACACCUCUGUCCUGGAGGUUUCUCUCCACCGGAGAAGAGUGAGAUGUACAGGAGGUCCAAGAGAGCAAUAAUAAGAGAUAAGAGAGCAGGGGAGAGUACUAAUUGGGGAAGGAGCUACAGGUAUGAGUGAUGAAAACUGGUGAGUGAGGAAAGCCCAACAGGGAAACACGAGGGCGGGGUAGAUGAAGCAGACACCGGACACGUGGAGAGCUGUCAAACGGCACUCCACAUGUUCGACAAAACAAAGAACACACACACCCCCGCAGGACACAUGCCCCGAGAGAGCCGGGUCAUGACAAUAAUGGGUGUAAUGUUUGACUGAUCCAAUGAGAGGCUCCUGCUAUAUGAUAUGCUGUGGUGGAACAGAAGCUAUAACCUUUCCUUGUUUAAACAGAUUGUUUCUUAAUUGUACCAUUAGAAAAUGUCAAUAAGUAAAUGCUAUGCUGGGUGUGGUUUUUUGUUUGCUAGUGUACAAUUGCACCUCCAGGCGAUAUGAUAAUGAACCAUUUGCAUGACAUUGCCUGUGGACACCUGUUUGGAAAAAACAACACAACUAUGGCUAGAUUGUAUAACAAGCAUAUCAAUGUACUGUAUGUACCCAGCUGUAUUAUGUUCACCCCCAUCUAUUUAUUUUAUUCUUAUAGCUCAAGGCAGAAAUGUUCCGUGAGUGUGCACUGAAAAAGCAUCGGUGUGCACUGAAGAAGUAUGCAUCCUUAUACUCCACAAACCGACGGCUUUGAUAUGGCCCAGUUUGAGUUUUCUGGGUUAAAACCAGGUCUGGACUCUCCACUGAAUAUUCAGACCCCUUUAAAGGCUGAAAUUCCCUUUCAUCCCUCCCCACCACGGUAAUCCCUCAUUAGUCAAAACCUCCUCUCCUUUCCUCUAUGUUUCUCAUGUCUCACUGGGCCGACUUGUUGGUAACAGAGCAAAGUUAUGGCCGCUUCUUCUCUGUUUUCCACCUCAUUACCUUUCAAAUCUUUUGGGCUCCUGCAUCCUAUAUCUUUGAAAUGUAACUGCUCGAGCUAUUUUUCCAUCUUUGUACUCACAUCAAAGAUGCACGCUUUAAAGUCUCAGCACUUUUGCAGACAGUGCAUUAUGUAGCGGGACUUAAAAACAGCCAUUAAUGAGAUUUUUCUCUGGGUGUCCAAGUGUUGUUUAUCGACACUAGCCAUUUGUUCAACUCCGUGGUAAAUUAUCCUGCAAUAUAACGGCUGAGUGUAUAAUUUAUUUGUAGCUGAUUCUUUGUUCUGUCCUUUCCACACUCUCAUCAGCAUUAGCACAGACUUGUGAACUUGGAUCAAAGAAUUUACCCACAAUUCCUGGAAUUAUGUCAGCCAUGCAGUUUCUCAUGCUUCACAGUUUUUUUUUGUUUUGUCAUAUUUUACAUUUAAGCUGUUGUUAUUUGUCACUCCCGUCCUUGUGCAAUGUUUUUCUGCUUCUCUAACACAUACAAUACUUUUAUUUUCUCAUGAGACCCCUCUCUCUCUCUCUCUCUCUC